rnacentral:rRNA from 1 species
UGAAUGACUCUCGGCAAUGGAUAUCUCGGCUCUUGCAUCGAUGAAGAACGUAGUGAAAUGCGAUACUUGGUGUGAAUUGCAGAAUCUCGUGAACCAUUGAGUCUUUGAACGCAAGUUGUGCCCGAGGCUUUGUGGCCGAGGGCACGCCUGCUUGGGCGUCAUGG